CCUACGGGGGACAGCAGUGGGGAAUAUUGCACAAUGGGGGAAACCCUGAUGCAGCGACGCCGCGUGAGUGAAGCAGUAUUUCGGUACGUAAAGCUCUAUCAGCAGGGAAGAAAAUGACGGUCCCUGACUAAGAAGCCCCGGCUAACUACGUGCCAGCAGCCGCGGUAAUACGUAGGGGGCAAGCGUUAUCCGGAUUUACUGGGUGUAAAGGGAGCGUAGACGGCAGCGCAAGUCUGGAGUGAAAUCCCAUGGCUUAACCAUGGAACUGCUUUGGAAACUGUGCAGCUAGAGUGCAGGAGAGGUAAGCGGAAUGCCUAGUGUAGCGGUGAAAUGCGUAGAUAUUAGGAGGAACACCAGUGGCGAAGGCGGCUUACUGGACUGUAACUGACGUUGAGGCUCGAAAGCGUGGGGAGCAAACAGGAUUAGAUACCCGAGUAGUC
rnacentral:rRNA from 1 species